rnacentral:rRNA from 1 species
UAAAAAUGGAAUUAAGCUAAGAUUUUAUUUGUUUUUCAUAAUUAAUUUAAAAGGUAUUGGCGGUAUUUAGUUAAAUUCUGAGGAACUUGUCUAUUUAAAUUGAUAUUACUCAUUAAAUUUUAUCUAUGAUAAAAGUUUUAUGUAUUGCUGUUUAAUUUAUUAUUUAUUAUUUUUGAAUGAAUUGAAAUGAUAUAAUUAAUGUAAAUAUUUCAAGUCAAAAUGUAGAUUUUCAUAGGGUUAGAUGAGUUACUUUUAUAUUGAACUGUGGUUACUGUAAAGUUAAUUGAAAUAUUAAUGAAAUGAAGGUUGGAUUAGGAAGUAAAAGAAAAAUAAUUUAGUUUUUUUGAUAUUAUUUUACUAGUAUGU